rnacentral:rRNA from 1 species
AGCGAACGCUGGCGGCAUGCCUAACACAUGCAAGUCUGACGGGCUUGGGGCGACCCAGGUCAGUGGCGGACGGGUGAGGAGCGCGUAGGAACGCAUCCAAGGGGUGGGGGACGAACCGACGGGAAACGUAGCGGCUAAUAACCGCAUGGGGCCGUGAGGGCCGAAAGGACUGGGAGACCAGUCGCCUGUGGAGCGGCCUGCGUCCGAUUAGCUAGGUUGGGGGG